rnacentral:lncRNA from 1 species
UUUAUGACACUAUACUAUUGAAAGUAAAAAUAAAAUCCUAUUUCUGGCCAUAGACCUUUGUAUACCAGCAAUCAUAAAAAUAUCAUAUGGUAUUUUUAUAAUUAUUGAAAGCAAGAUUUGAACCUGUGUGACAGAGGUUUGAACUCAAAGUAAAGUGACAGGCUGAAGUGCUGCUGAAUCUUCUCACCUCAGUGGGGGAGGGGCCCCAGGAGGUCUGGAAUUUGGAGAAGCCAGAAGGUUCUGACUGAGAGGCAGUUAUCUCUCUCAAUCUUUAGAAGCCUAGGAGGAAGGGAGGUCUGGUCAAAACUUUCUCCUGAGGAGAUAUUCACCUUUUUCCUCUCCUGGAGACAGGACAUCCUCCCCCUCCACCAAUUCCCAACUGAAGUGAUAGCUGAAGAAGACAUUGAGCCUCUGUUAAACUUACCUCACAGCUCCUGGUGCCUUGGAUCUGAACUGUGCCAGUUGGGUCAAGACCAGGGCAAGUGUAUUAAAGCUUGGAGGUGGAGUCAAGAUGGUGGCAUAAAGGCAGCAAGGGUUCAGACCUCUGAAAUCCCUUCCUUACUGAUUACAAACUCAAUGCUCCUAGGGAACUGA